UUAAAAAAAAAGGCUCAUGUAUCCGGCACGGGGGGUGGCCCUCCAAACCAAGACUUCACCACAGCAGAGGAGCUGGCCCUGGAGUUGAAUAAAGGGAAGCCAGUGAUGGAAGGGAUCCAGGGAGGGACAGCCACUGACUCUGGCCCAGCAAGAGAAACUGGCCUCUUCAUACAAAUGUCUGGUAACACACUUACACUUCUGGAGCCACCAGACUAUGAUCCGCUGGUGAGUACUCUUUAUUAAAAUCAUAGGCUUGGCACAUCCUGUCAAAACUAUCAAUACAAGUUCUAUUGAAUAUGGCAGAGGGAAGGCACAUCUGCAGCAGUGGAGUGCACUUCUGCCGAUGAUGAGACGGUGUCGCUGGACUCCAGAAGGCUUGAGGUGUCAUGUCAAUUUUGUGUACAUUUUUAGUCCAUAAUGGAUAAGUAGUCAGCAAUGUGAUUCUAAUAGAACAUAUAUUUUUAACAGGAUCCAGACACUGUGCAGCCUGAUAAGCAGCCUAGUAACAUAAAUUCACAAACUGUCAGACGUCUCUACACAAUGCAUCUUAAGAGACAGAUAGAGCUGGCAGAGGGCAAGAUCGAAGUGAACAAGAGAAAGCUGCAGGACAUGGACCUUGAGAUGGAAA